rnacentral:tRNA from 1 species
AUCGCGGUCAGCUGGCAGAGCAUCUGCCCGGUAUGCGGACGGUCGCCGGUUCGAUUCCGGCUCGCGGUG